UGACUCCCAAGCCUGUGAGAUUUUCUUGAGC
rnacentral:piRNA from 1 species